rnacentral:RNase_P_RNA from 1 species
UGGGUGGAUUGGGCAGUCACCUGGCAUCAGCUGGGAGGAAAGUCCGGACUCCGCAGGACAGGUUGCCCAUGUUAGGAGCAUGGGACUCUACUUUUGGGUAGGGAUGGAAAGUGCCACAGAAAGGAUACCGCCUUUCGAAGCUCGCAGAGCGUCGAGGGGUAAGGGUGAAAACGUGAGGUAAGAGCUCACGCCGGUGUCAGGCAACUGAUGCUGGGGGUAAACCCCAAUUGGAGCAAUUUCAAGCAGAAGAGCAUGGUAGUCCGCCAUUCAUCUAUGAUGAAACUCUUCGGGUAGGAAGCUAGUAUCUCCAUGCAAAUGGAGGUCCAGAUCAAUGGCUGCCUCAUCCUCUUUUGAGGGUAAGACAAAAUCCGGCUUAUAGAUCCACCCAUUUA